rfam:Beta vulgaris subsp. vulgaris chromosome 6, whole genome shotgun sequence.
GCCUCGGUUUUUUUAAAAACCGCAAAAAUAUAUUAAAAUAGUAUUU